rnacentral:rRNA from 1 species
AGAUUGAACGCUAGCGGGAUGCUUUACACAUGCAAGUCGAACGGCAGCGCGGACUUCGGUCUGGCGGCGAGUGGCGAACGGGUGAGUAAUAUAUCGGAACGUGCCCAGUAGCGGGGGAUAACUACGCGAAAGCGUGGCUAGUACCGCAUACGCCCUACGGGGGAAAGGGGGGGAUCGGCAAGACCUCUCACUAUUGGAGCGGCCGAUAUCAGAUUAGCUAGUUGGUGAGGUAAACGGCUCACCAAGGCGACGAUCUGUAGCUGGUUGAGAGGACGACCAGCCACACUGGGACUGAGACACGGCCCAGACUCCUACGGAGGCAGCAGUGGGAAUUUGGACAAUAGGGGAACCUGAUCCAGCCAUCCG